GACGAACGCUGGCGGCAGGCCCAACACAUGCAAGUCGAACGAACCCUUCGGGGUUAGUGGCGGACGGGUGAGUAACACGUGGGAACGUGCCUUUAGGUUCGGAAUAACUCAGGGAAACUUGUGCUAAUACCGAAUGUGCCCUUCGGGGGAAAGAUUUAUCGCCUUUAGAGCGGCCCGCGUCUGAUUAGCUAGUUGGUGAGGUAAUGGCUCACCAAGGCUACGAUCAGUAGCUGGUCUGAGAGGAUGACCAGCCACAUUGGGACUGAGACACGGCCCAAACUCCUACGGGAGGCAGCAGUGGGGAAUCUUGCGCAAUGGGCGAAAGCCUGACGCAGCCGUGCCGCGUGGAUGAUGAAGGUCUUAGGAUUGUAAAAUCCUUUCACCGGUGAAGAUAAUGACUGUAGCCGGAGAAGAAGCCCCGGCUAACUUCGUGCCAGCAGCCGCAGUAAAAC
rnacentral:rRNA from 1 species